rnacentral:lncRNA from 1 species
CAUAAGCUCAAGUAUCAUUUUCACAGACAAAUGAAAAACCUGCAGCUCUGUUCAGCUUAAGAAGUCUCAUUCAGUUGCCCAUGAAUUCAUGUUUUUUAAGACCACUCUGGAUGGUGCUUGGAGGGGGAGGAAAGGAAAUGAUGAAAGCCCUCAGAUUUCUGAAGUAAAGAGGUAUUCUAAAUUUGUGAUAAAAUAUGGCUAUUAAUUAUAAUGCUAUGAGAUUGACCUGGAUAUCUCUAGUAUUCCAGAUAAACUGCACAGAACUUGGCAAUGAGCAUGUGUUAAUUCUUGAUACAGAGUUUAGAAGAGAGGUUUACUGAAAUAACUCAUCCAGAUAUAUGUAUUUCUGAAUAGCAAAAAUGAUAGGAAAAAUGGAACAUCUUUCAAGUGACACUCUUCUUGAAAUUAUUUGGCAUUACAAACUGCAGAGCAUCUGCUUUAGUUUAAAAUGCCUUUAGAUAAACUCCUUUAAUUGCCUACAUUUUUUUUAAAUUUUGGAGAUACCCCUCUAUGUGAGUUUGCAAAGAGGUAUCAAUGUACUUGUACAAUGUACUGAGCUCUUGCUUCAUCUGGUGUGAGAGCUGUUUCAGUGGGAUGCAGAUUCCAAACCAGUUGUGGCAAAGCUGUGGGUGUGGGCCAGAAGCCGAGUGCUGGGUGUUCAUGUCUGUGCUGAGAUGCAAACUGGCCACAGGGACACUCCUUCUGCCAACAGGGAAUGGCUUCUGUGGAUACAAAGGGUUCCCUGCAGCACCACGGAGACCUUCAUGGGUACCAAGAACAUGCUGCAGAAACACAUAGUAGUCUGCUAACUUCACUUCAUCCCGUGGUUCCUGAAAAGCAAGAAUCCUGAUGUACUCUCUGGAAAGCACAGAGCACUGGACUGAACUGGGCUGUGGGAAGCAGGAGCAAAGAAGCAACUCUUCCUGGCGUUACCAGGAGGGAAGGAGAGGGGAUAGCUGCUGCUGGACUUCGGCAACAGGCUCUGCACAUCCUCUCACCCUUCGGCUGCCAGUGUGCCAGCAGGAAAGGAGAGAGGACGGUCUGCUGAUCGGCACUUCAGAUACAGACUGCACACCUCUUCACCUCCAGCUACCAGGGUGCCACAAAGACUUCAGUGACAGACUCUGCACGCCUUCUCCCCCUUCGGCUACCGGGAAAAAGCUACAACUGCGGGGGCGAGCUCUGUGUCGAGCCCCCUGCCCAGCUAAUCUUUUUAGUAAAGAGCUGAACAUUAAUAAAGGCAUAGGCCCUGUUCAUUACACUUUCCUUUGUUCAUGCCAAUAGUGUUAACAAUAUUGGAUUGAAUUAAACUUUACUAAGACUGCAGCAGUUAGGAUCUUCAAAUGCUUUUCUCCAAAGCACUUCUUUCUCAUAAGAGAAUUGGGAAGAAAAUAAAAGAGGCCUAAUGCUUAAGAAUUCCCA